rnacentral:sRNA from 1 species
UAAUGACUGUAUUGAUAGUGGUGUGUU